UCUUCUUCUUUCUUGCUGUGACUGGACUGCGCCUGCGUCGACCUUAGCCAGCAACAGCAGAGGCGCGAUCCACAGCCAGUCGCACCGUCUCCAUCGCGCGCAGCACCGCCUCACCGCUCCUCUGCGCGCCACAGCCAGCAGUUCCGCCUGCAGCAGCGCUUCAUCCUCGGCCAGAUCGCGCCGUCUCAGGUGGUCUAGCUACUCCAGCACGACUCCAGCCACCUGCUUGCAGUCCCAGUGCGCGCAGUUUAGAUCCAGCACGCGUGCAAGUCCGAUCUACAAUUUGCGACAGAAAUUAAUAAAUUUGGGGUACUAGGAAGCAGCGGAUUCAACUGAAGCUCUGUAAUCUUCUCCGCAGAGUUAUAAAUGUAAACUUAAUAUUUCUGUUAUUUAAUUUUGGAUGUAUACAUUAUUCUAUUAUCAGAAUGUUAUUGAACUCCGCAGUUAUAGGGUUGUGUAUUUCCAAUUGGGCCUUGCCGUAUGCGUUGUUUUAUAAACGGUUGAUUGUAUUAUUAGACACAGGAAAAUCAGUAUGCCCAUAUUAUGAACGUGAUUGAUAAUGACUAGGCCCAAACUAAAUUUUAUUGGAGAUAAUUAAAAUUGGGCCGGAUUGUAUA